rnacentral:misc_RNA from 1 species
GUAUUAGUAUUUCCAACUAACCAUCCAUAAGAUAAAUUGUGUGUAACAAAAACAUAGACAAGGGUUUGAAUAAACAAUCCCCCGCCUACAGAAUGUGCACAGGUGGAUAUCAAGGUUGAGAGUGCACAAUUGUCCCCCCUUUGAAAGGAGAACCAGCACAUCCCAUUUGAAAAUCAAUAAUGAUCCUUCCGCAGGUUCACCUACGGAAA